rnacentral:rRNA from 1 species
UACGGAGGGUGCAAGCGUUAUCCGGAUUCACUGGGUUUAAAGGGUGCGUAGGCGGGCAGGUAAGUCCGUGGUGAAAUCUCUGAGCUUAACUCAGAAACUGCCAUGGAUACUAUUUGUCUUGAAUAUUGUGGAGGUAAGCGGAAGAUGUCAUGUAGCGGUGAAAUGCUUAGAUAUGACAUAGAACACCAAUUGCGAAGGCAGCUUACUACACAGUUAUUGACGCUGAGGCACGAAAGCGUGGGGAUCAAACAGG